rnacentral:lncRNA from 1 species
GGCCAGUUGAAGGACUCCUCUAGGAGGAUGGAGUUUCUCAAUGCAUUGAAGACCCAUUGGUGGCCUUCGGCUGCUGUCUGCUCUAUGGUCGGGUUGUUGUCACUUUGACACAUUCCCCAUUUCCAUUCUCAAUUUUAUGAAAUGCCAUUCUUGUACUUUUCAAGCCUUUAUAAACAGCUGUGCUAGGAGUGCAUGAUAUGCUCAUCUUAUG